rnacentral:rRNA from 1 species
UUGGAGGGCAAGUCUGGUGCCAGCAGCCGCGGUAAUUCCAGCUCCAAUAGCGUAUAUUAAAGUUGUUGCAGUUAAAAAGCUCGUAGUUGAAUUUCGGGGUUAGUAGGUUGGUCAUGCCUCUGGUAUGUACUGGUCUCACUGAUUCCUCCUUCCUUAUGAACCGUAAUGCCAUUAAUUUGGUGUUGCGGGGAAUUUGGACUGUUACUUUGAAAAAAUUAGAGUGUUUAAAGCAGGCUAACGCUUGAAUACAUUAGCAUGGAUUAAUGAAAUAGGACGUUCGAUCUAAUUUUGUUGGUUUCUAGGAUUGACGUAAUGAUUAAUAGGGAUAGUUGGGGGCAUUAGUAUUCAAUUGUCAGAGGUGAAAUUCUUGGAUUUAUUGAAGACUAACUACUGCGAAAGCAUUUGCCAAGGAUGUUUUCAUUAAUCAAGAACGAAAGUUAGGGGAUUGAAGACGAUCAGAUACCGUCGUAGUCUUAACCAUAAACUAUGCCGACUAGGGAUCGGAUGAUGUUAAUUUUUUAAUGACUCAUUCGGCGCCUUACGGGAAACCAAGUGUUUGGGU